AAUGAACGCUGGCGGCAGGCCUAACACAUGCAAGUCGAACGAGUGGCGGACGGGUGAGUAAUGUCUGGGAAACUGCCUGAUGGAGGGGGAUAACUACUGGAAACGGUAGCUAAUACCGCAUACCAUCAGAUGUUCCCAGAUGGGAGUAGCUAGUUGGUGGGGUAACGGCUCACCAAGGCGACGAGCCCUAGCUGGUCUGAGAGGGUGACCAGCCACACGGGAACUGAGACACGGUCCAGACUCCUACGGGAGGCAGCAGUGGGGAAUAUUGCGCAAUGGGCGCAAGCCUGAUGCAGCCAUGCCGCGUGUAUGAAGAAGGCCUUCGGGUUGUAAAGUACUUUCAGCGGGGAGGCGUUACCCGCAGAAGAAGCACCGGCUAACUCCGUGCCAGCAGCCGCGGUAAUUC
rnacentral:rRNA from 1 species